rnacentral:rRNA from 1 species
AUUGAACGCUGGCGGCAUGCCUUACACAUGCAAGUCGAACGGCAGCACGGGAGCUUGCUCCUGGUGGCGAGUGGCGAACGGGUGAGUAAUACAUCGGAACGUACCCUGAAGUGGGGGAUAACGUAGCGAAAGUUACGCUAAUACCGCAUAUUCUGUGAGCAGGAAAGAGGGGGAUCGCAAGACCUCUUGCUUUAGGAGCGGCCGAUGUCGGAUUAGCUAGUUGGUGAGGUAAAGGCUCACCAAGGCGACGAUCCGUAGCGGGUCUGAGAGGAUGAUCCGCCACACUGGGACUGAGACACGGCCCAGACUCCUACGGGAGGCAGCAGUGGGGAAUUUUGGACCAAUGGGCGCAAGCCUGAUCCAGCCAUGCCGCGUGAGUGAAGAAGGCC